UUGUGCCCUUGAGGCGUGGCUUCCGGAGCUAACGCGUUAAGUCGACCGCCUGGGGAGUACGGCCGCAAGGUUAAAACUCAAAUGAAUUGACGGGGGCCCGCACAAGCGGUGGAGCAUGUGGUUUAAUUCGAUGCAACGCGAAGAACCUUACCUACUCUAGACAUCCACGGAACUUGGNCAGAGNNGNCNNUGGCGCCUUCGGGAACCGUGAGACAGGUGCUGCAUGGCUGUCGUCAGCUCGUGUUGUGAAAUGUUGGGUUAAGUCCCGCAACGAGCGCAACCCUUAUCCUUUGUUGCCAGCGGUUCGGCCGGGAACUCAAAGGAAACUGCCAGUGAUAAACUGGAAGAAGGUGGGGAUGAAGUCAAGUCAUCAUGGCCCUUACGAAUAAGGGCUACACACGUGCUACAAUGGCGCAUACAAAGAGAAGCGAACUCGCGAGAGCAAGCGGACCUCAUAAAGUGCGUCGUAGUCCGGAUCGGAGUCUGCAACUCGACUCCGUGAAGUCGGAAUCGCUAGUAAUCGUGGAUCAGAAUGCCACGGUGAAUACGUUCCCGGGCCUUGUACACACCGCCCGUCACACCAUGGGAGUGGGUUGCAAAAGAAGUAGGUAGCNUAACCUUCGGGAGGGC
rnacentral:rRNA from 1 species